rnacentral:rRNA from 1 species
CCUACGGGUGGCAGCAGUGAGGAAUAUUGGUCAAUGGGCGGGAGCCUGAACCAGCCAAGCCGCGUGAGGGAAGACGGUACAGCGUAUCGUAAACCUCUUUUGUCAGGGAACAAAGGCGGGGACUAGUCCCCGGAUGAGGGGACCUGAAGAAAAAGCAUCGGCUAACUCCGUGCCAGCAGCCGCGGUAAUACGGAGGAUGCGAGCGUUAUCCGGAUUUAUUGGUGUUAAAGGGUGCGCAGGCGGAGGUGCAAGUCAGCGGUCAAAUUGCGGGGCUCAACCCCGUACUGCCGUUGAAACUGCAUCCCUUGAGUGCGCGAGAAGUAUGCGGAAUGCGCGGUGUAGCGGUGAAAUGCAUAGAUAUCACGCAGAACUCCGAUUGCGAAGGCAGCAUACCGGCGCGCAACUGACGCUCAUGCACGAAAGCGCGGGUAGCGAACAGGAUUAGAUACCCCUGUAGUC